GAGACUUAUAAUUUCUAUAAUCUUUAUUGUUAAUGAUAGUGUUAUAAUUCUUACAGCUGCAAAAUAAUUCAUGGUCCCUUUUUUCUUCCUCUGAACAGCCACUAUGGAAGGAGGGGUCAGGAUUACAGCAGAGGAGACUGGCACACAGAGUGUUAAGUGACACCCACUCAAUCCACCCCGAAGCUGUUACACUUAAUUAACCCUCAAACUGCCCAGUGAGAGCGAGUGGCACUGAAGCUCGAUCAGACCUUCCCCUUCAGCCUGAUGAGGAGGAUAUCCGUGUUCAAGUACGUCUCAGGGUCUUCAGCCGAGAGGAGGGCAGCCCAGAGCCGGAAACUGAACCCGGUGCCUGGCUCCUACCCCACACAGAGCUGCCACCCUCACCUGUCCCCAAGCCACCCUGUGUCCCAGACGCAGCACGCCAGUGGUCAGAAGCUGGCCUCCUGGCCCUCCUGCACCCCCGGGCACAUGCCCACCUUGCCUCCGUACCAGCCUGCCUCCGGCCUGUGCUAUGUGCAGAACCACUUUGGUCCAAACCCCACCUCCUCCAGUGUCUACCCAGCUUCUGCGGGCACCUCCCUGGGCAUCCAGCCCCCCACGCCUGUGAACAGCCCUGGCACGGUGUAUUCUGGGGCCUUGGGCACACCAGGGGCUGCAGGCUCCAAGGAGUCCUCCAGGGUCCCCAUGCCCUGAGAGAAUUUCUAGGGAAGUCAUCUCACUUGGCCUUCUGAAGGUCCUCCCUAAGAGUCUCCUGACAAAAGUUACUUAUUGAACACCUCUAUGUGCCAGGCUCUGUGUUGGGUACUUUGAUCAAUGCCCCUGUUUCAGUCUCAUCUGUACUCACGGCAGCCCUGUGGAGUACGGUGUACUGGCCCAGCUUACAGAUGCAGAAAGCGAGACGUUCUGCCAUCAGAUAAAGUCACGUGGCUCUUUAGUAACACGGACAAGGCUCCUCGCCAAGGAACUCGUGGCAGAAGAGGGCAGCAGUUGGCAGUAGCUGCCGAUGUCUGUCCCCAGCUCCACCAUUCCUCCCUGUGGCUGUGCCGUGCUCGUGGUUUCAGUGUCCGUGUGUCCAUGUGUCUGCCCUUCAGGAGCUCGCAGCUGGUGUGCUUGGCGGUCCCAGGCCUGUGUAGUGUCUCUCCCCUGCUGCGGGCGCCCCCACCCCGAUUCCUCUCCCCAGAAGCGGUGGGAUGGGCCCCCAUGAACUGCAGCAGCAUGCUGAGGUGUCCAUGUUGUCUGCCUUUGUAUAAAGAAACAGCCUCUGA
rnacentral:lncRNA from 1 species